rnacentral:misc_RNA from 1 species
ACGUUUCCCCGUACAUUCGUGAUCAACGUCACAGAUGAAGUAAAAGCUGCAAUGAAGAAAACCGCCCCUAUGAGUUACAAAGCAUUUCUGUAUGACCUUACCACUCUUCUAAUUUUCACAUACGAUAUUUACGCAGGAAAUGCAAAUACAGAGGAAACAUUCGACGUGUAUCUCAAUGUGAAUGUGAAGGCAGAUAUCAUAGAACCAUCCACAUUGUUCAGUUACAUCAGCGGCUCUUUGGAAUCCAUCAUUAAUCAUGCAAUAUCCCAGGUCAGAGUCUUUGAAGAAAAUCAAUUCGAACGGUUAAAGCUAUAUCCAAAUGGAAAAAACGAGGGUGCGCUUAACGUUUUAGAUUCUUGUUGGUCUAAAAGUAAAUCAUCUACUGUGUCGGAAGAAGAAUUAUUUGAAGAGGCUAUGCAAGAACAUGGAGCAAUGAGCAAAUUUGAGGGAGCAGAAUUUGAAGCGCUGCCCUCUGAAGUUUGUUUCAUUUGCUUUGAAACGAUGAAUGAGAAUAGAUCCGGCAUUGCUUUGGAUAGUUGUGGACAUUGGUUCUGCAGAGACUGUUGGAGAGAGCAUCUCCACAAAGAUUUCUCCAAGCUUCUCUGCCCAGAGUUUAAUUGCGAUAAAGAGGUAGAUUUCAGCACGAUUCUUCAAAUUCUAAAUAUCUCAGAAGUUCGAAAGUAUUUGAUUCGUAGAAGGGAAUCUUUGGUUCAAAUUCAACAGAAAUAUUGUCCAAACGAGAAGUGUGGACGGGUCAUAUCUACCUUGUUAGCAACAACACACACGAAUGCUGCAUGCAAAUGUGGAAUCAAGUUUUGCUCACAUUGUUUCAAGUUUCCUCACUGGCCUGCACCAUGUGACACUUCUCAGCAAUACUGGGGAUUGUUGAAGAAGAAUGGCAUUGACAUAACUCCUAACGAUUCAGAUUACUCAACACAAGUUCCAGAGAUUUCGGUCAAAGGAAAGGUCUGUCCUAAAUGCAAACGAUUUAUAGAGAAAGAUGGUGGAUGUUAUACCAUGAUAUGCGUAUGUGGUACCAUCUUUUGCUGGGGAUGCCGAGGCAUUUAUGGUGUAAACCACGUUGGGAGCGAUCUCUGUAACCAAUACACACAUGGAGACCUACACUAUACUCGUAAAAUGCGCAUUAAAAAUUAUGAAGUUGCGCAAAACAAGAUGAAAGCGGAAUCUGCACUUCUUCAAGCUGCAGUCAAUCACCGAACAGAGAGGGCGUUGCCUAAAACAGUAAAUAUGAAUCGGACAAUUCACUCAUUAUGUCAAAAAUUUCGGACACUAGGACGGAAAUCGAUAACAAAGAUUGCAGAAAUUUUGGCGGACGAUAAUGCUGAAGAAAAAUCACUUUCGUACGUUAAAUUUGAACAUUUUUUGCGCAGUAUGUCGAACUUGUAUUUAGAAAUGCGCCAUCUUGCCGAGUAUACUGCAGUGUUUGCGGAUCAGAAUACCAGGUCCCCAAAACGAAUAAAUUGUAUCCUUGCGCGUAUAGAGAGCCUUGCUGCAGAGAUUUACGAUAAAUUGUGCCAGGAUACUGAUGGCGAUGUAGCCUCUCUUGUUUGCGAUCUGAUGGACAUUAAGGACCAUUGUAUGAAGACAGUGUCUGGCCUUGUCAAAUUGGUCACUAAAUGAAUUAGUUUCGUACAACAUGAAAAUAACUUAAAAAAUAUUAACAGUUCUAAGUGUUAUCUAACACAUUGUUCAAAGUACAAAAUUGAUUAUAUCCUGAGAUCAUACGGUAAAAAUAACGUAGUAUUUUGUCCAUUCGUUGUACUUUUAAGAUUUAUUUUAAACAUAUGCCACACAGUAUUUAUAUUUCAAAUAAAGAUGUUCUAGAAA